GACAGAGGGUGCUAGCGUUGUUCGGAAUUACUGGGCGUAAAGGGCGCGCAGGCGGCUCAUUUUGUCAGGCGUGAAAACCCGGGGCUCAACCCCGGGCCUGCAUUCGAUACGGGCAGACUAGAGUUCGGUAGGGGAGUCUGGAAUUCCUGGUGUAGCGGUGAAAUGCGCAGAUAUCAGGAGGAACACCGGUGGCGAAGGCGGGACUCUGGGCCGAUACUGACGCUGAGGAGCGAAAGCGUGGGGAGCAAACAGG
rnacentral:rRNA from 1 species